UACAGAGGGUGCGAGCGUUGUUCGGAAUUAUUGGGCGUAAAGGGCGCGUAGGCGGUGCGGUAAGUCACCUGUGAAAUCUCCUGGCUCAACUGGGAGCUUGCAGGCGAAACUGCCGUGCUGGAGUGUGGGAGAGGUGCGUGGAAUUCCUGGUGUAGCGGUGAAAUGCGUAGAUAUCAGGAGGAACACCGAUGGCGAAGGCAGGUCUCUGGGCCACUACUGACGCUGAGAAGCGAAAGCAUGGGGAGCGAACAGG
rnacentral:rRNA from 1 species